rnacentral:lncRNA from 1 species
CUAAGUGUUAAUCUUCUUUUUCGGGCAAAACUGAAUUUUGCAAACCAGUUCUAGUUUGUUGCCAACAUCGCCUGUCGGAGUUCGAUCAGACCAAUAACUUCCUCAAUGAGCCGACGUAUUUUCGGUUGUAGCAGUGAUCAUUGGGGCUGUCGGUUGAGUUCAUUUCUGCUGAGAUGACUUUUACACCUUUACAGAAAGUCUCACAACCAUUUUGGGUCAUGUCAACCGUGUUAUGCUUGAGCCCUGCUCGAUCCUAUUAAUUCGACUAGACGAUCAGCUCGAUCAACUUUACUGCUCAACUUGCCCAACUCGUUCAGUCUAGUUGACUCGUUAAUCCCAAGCUUAGGGACUUCGUGACUUGGCAACUCGUACAAUCCUAUCUUUGAAUCUGCCCACCUGGUCGACCUACUUAAUUCGGCUACUCUGCUUCAUGGAAUCCAAACUCAAAACUGUCGACUUGACGCUUGACCGACCUACUUGAUUUGGUCGUCAUACUCCAUGGAACCCGAGCUUAAAACUGCUGACUAGGUACUUGGCUGACCUAUUUGAUUUGGCCGUUAUGCUCCAUGGAACCUAAGUUCGAAACUACCGACUUGACG